AGGACUGUAGUUAAUUAUAAUAUUUGGUUUGCAUCCAAAAGGUGUUGGCUUCCAACCUGUCUUA
rnacentral:tRNA from 1 species